rnacentral:lncRNA from 1 species
AGCAGGUGAGGAGGCUGGGGCCAGAUGACAGCUAGUGAGGGAGCAGAGACAAGACAAGGCGAGCCUGUGACAGAGCGAGACCCUGUCUCAAAAAACAAAAACAAGACAUGUGAGCUUGGACUCCAGUGUGGAAUCCCAUGUCCGCUCAGUGCACCUUUCUGCCGCUGAAAGUACAAGAGGAGAGGGGAAACCCACAGGUGGAGCUGACCAUGAGGACUGUCACAGGGAACUCUUUGAAUAAGAGGACACCAGAUCAUGCCUGCAGUUCCAGCCCAGGAGCAACUAGCACCAGCCUCAGCAUGGAGCAGGACUUCAGUUCCAGCAGCGAGGACUGAGAUCAGACACAAGAGAAAGCUCCCUGAUGAGGAGGGGUGAUUCUAAAACGAAGGGCGGAAAUUAUCUGGGGAAUUUCCUUCCCGUGAAGCCUCAGGAACAUGCCAGUCCCCCACUUCGGUCUGUCCUGGGGGGUCUCACGCCCCUGUCCUCCUAGAGAAAUCUAGAUCCUCCAAACUCUGCCUGGGUUCUUCCUGGGGAGUCUUGACCCCUGCCUUGUGGUUGAUGUGGGAUAGGGGACCCGGGAACAGGGCUGCCUUCCUCUGGCCAAGGCCUGGCAAGCAAGUGUGGGAUGGGUGCUGUCUUCCUGAGAGGGACAAUAGAAGUGACAGAGCCCCCUAAUUCAAGACCCUGCAGAGGUGGUGUGAGAUCUUAUAAUAUCAGUCUCUAAGCCAGUGCCUCUCAAGCUCUCUUUGGUGAAGAAUCAAUUUUUAAAAUAUAUAAUCAGUCACAGAUCAAUGCUUUUGUAAAAUGCAAUAAAAGUUAAUUUCCAAAAAAAUC